rnacentral:lncRNA from 1 species
UAGUCCCUGGAAGCUCUGGUUGGUUGGCAUUGUUGUUUUUAUGGGGUUGCAAGUUCCUUCAACUCUUUCAAUCCUUUCUCUAAUUCCCCCCAAGGGGGUCCUGUUCUCAGUUUGGUGGUUUGCUGCUAGCAUUGACCUCUGUAUUGGACAUGUUCUGGAUGUGUCAAUCAGGAGAGAUCUAUAUUCAGUCCUUUACAGCAUGCAUAUUUUAGUUUCAUCAAUCUUAUAUAGUUUUGGUGGAGAUUAUAUAUAUAUAUAUAUAUAUAUAUAUAUAUAUAUAUAUAUAUAUAUAUAUAUCGGCCAUAUGUGGGGCAGGCUCUGAAUGGCCAUUUCUUCAGUCCCUGCUCUAAAUUUUGCUUCCAUAUCCCCUCCUAUGGAUACUUUUUGCCCCCUUUUAAGAAGGAGUGAGAGCAUCUGCAUUUUGAUCAUCCUUCUUCCUGAGCUUCCUGUGGUCUGUGGUUUGCAUCUUGGGCAAUUCGAGCUUUUUGGCUAAUAUCCACUUAUCAUGAGUGCA